rnacentral:rRNA from 1 species
GUGGGGAAUCUUGCGCAAUGGGCGAAAGCCUGACGCAGCCAUGCCGCGUGAAUGAUGAAGGUCUUGGGAUUGUAAAAUUCUUUCACCGGGGACGAUAAUGACGGUACCCGGAGAAGAAGCCCCGGCUAACUUCGUGCCAGCAGCCGCGGUAAUACGAAGGGGGCUAGCGUUGCUCGGAAUUACUGGGCGUAAAGGGCGCGUAGGCGGACAGCUUAGUCAGAGGUGAAAGCACAGGGCUCAACCUUGGAAUUGCCUUUGAUACUGGCUGUCUUGAGUUUGGGAGAGGUGAGUGGAACUCCGAGUGUAGAGGUGAAAUUCGUAGAUAUUCGGAAGAACACCAGUGGCGAAGGCGACUCACUGGCCCAAUACUGACGCUGAGGCGCGAAAGCGUGGGGAGCAAACAGGAUUAGAUACCCUAGUAGUCC